CGGAUUAGAUACCCUGGUAGUCCACGCCCUAAACGAUGUCAACUGGGUGUUGGGGAAGCGAUUCCUUGGUACCGUAGCUAACGCGUGAAGUUGACCGCCUGGGGAGUACGGCCGCAAGGUUAAAACUCAAAGGAAUUGACGGGGACCCGCACAAGCGGUGGAUGAUGUGGAUUAAUUCGAUGCAACGCGAACAACCUUACCUACCCUUGACAUGUCCGAGACCCUGCUGAGAGGUGGGGGUGCCCGAAAGGGAAUUGGAACACAGGUGCUGCAUGGCUGUCGUCAGCUCGUGUCGUGAGAUGUUGGGUUAAGUCCCGCAACGAGCGCAACCCUUGUCCCUAGUUGCUACGCAAGGGCACUCUAGGGAGACUGCCGGUGACAAACCGGAGGAAGGUGGGGAUGACGUCAAGUCCUCAUGGCCCUUAUGGGUAGGGCUUCACACGUCAUACAAUGGCCGGUACAGAGGGUUGCCAACCCGCGAGGGGGAGCCAAUCCCAGAAAGCCGGUCGUAGUCCGGAUUGCAGUCUGCAACUCGACUGCAUGAAGUCGGAAUCGCUAGUAAUCGCGGAUCAGCAUGUCGCGGUGAAUACGUUCCCGGGUCUUGUACACACCGCCCGUCACACCAUGGGAGUGGGGUGCACCAGAAGUAGGUAGGCUAACCGCGAGGGGGCCGCUUACCACGGUUUGCUUCAUGACUGGGGUGAAGUCGUAACAAG
rnacentral:rRNA from 1 species